AUUGAACGCUGGCGGCAUGCCUUACACAUGCAAGUCGAACGGCAGCACGGGUGCUUGCACCUGGUGGCGAGUGGCGAACGGGUGAGUAAUACAUCGGAACAUGUCCUGUAGUGGGGGAUAGCCCGGCGAAAGCCGGAUUAAUACCGCAUACGAUCUACGGAUGAAAGCGGGGGACCUUCGGGCCUCGCGCUAUAGGGUUGGCCGAUGGCUGAUUAGCUAGUUGGUGGGGUAAAGGCCUACCAAGGCGACGAUCAGUAGCUGGUCUGAGAGGACGACCAGCCACACUGGGACUGAGACACGGCCCAGACUCCUACGGGAGGCAGCAGUGGGGAAUUUUGGACAAUGGGCGAAAACCUGAUCCAGCAAUGCCGCGUGUGUGAAGAAGGCCUUCGGGUUGUAAAGCACUUUUGUCCGGAAAGAAAUCCUUGGCCCUAAUACGGUCGGGGGAUGACGGUACCGGAAGAAUAAGCACCGGCUAACUACGUG
rnacentral:rRNA from 1 species